rnacentral:rRNA from 1 species
UACGUAGGGAGCAAGCGUUGUCCGGAAUCAUUGGGCGUAAAGCGCGCGUAGGCGGCCCCGUAAGUCCGCUGUGAAAGUCAAAGGCUCAACCUUUGAAAGCCGGUGGAUACUGUGGGGCUAGAGUCCGGAAGAGGCGAGUGGAAUUCCUGGUGUAGCGGUGGAAUGCGCAGAUAUCGGGAGGAACACCAAUGGCGAAGGCAGCUCGCUGGGACGGUACUGACGCUGAGACGCGAAAGCGUGGGGAGCAAACAGG